rnacentral:rRNA from 1 species
AACGAACGCUGGCGGCGUGCCUAAUACAUGCAAGUCGAGCGAAUGGAUUAAGAGCUUGCUCUUAUGAAGUUAGCGGCGGACGGGUGAGUAACACGUGGGUAACCUGCCCAUAAGACUGGGAUAACUCCGGGAAACCGGGGCUAAUACCGGAUAACAUUUUGAACCGCAUGGUUCGAAAUUGAAAGGCGGCUUCGGCUGCCACUUAUGGAUGGACCCGCGUCGCAUUAGCUAGUUGGUGAGGUAACGGCUCACCAAGGCAACGAUGCGUAGCCGACCUGAGAGGGUGAUCGGCCACACUGGGACUGAGACACGGCCCAGACUCCUACGGGAGGCAGCAGUAGGGAAUCUUCCGCAAUGGACGAAAGUCUGACGGAGCAACGCCGCGUGAGUGAUGAAGGCUUUCGGGUCGUAAAACUCUGUUGUUAGGGAAGAACAAGUGCUAGUUGAAUAAGCUGGCACCUUGACGGUACCUAACCAGAAAGCCACGGCUAACUACGUGCCAGCCGCCGCGGUAA